GACCACGUAGCUUAGCUGCCAGAGCAUUGGACUAGUAUCCCAAAGGUCGCGGGUUCGAUUCCCACCGUGGCCA